ACAAAAAUUUCAUGUUGAUGGUCAAUUUUAAUAACUAUCUCACAAAGACGAUACUAUAUUGACUAAUAUUUUUUUCAAAUUGACCCUAUUUAUUAUUUACUCCCAUUGGUUCAUUGAUAUGAAAAUGCAAUCAAAGUUAACUUUUACCCUCAUAUCAUGCAACAUCAACUUGUGGAGAUGCCUUUCAUGAUUAUGGUACUACCCAUAUUUUACUUAUAACACCACAAAAUAGAAAACAUGACUUGCCACACAUAGAUGUUGAUGUUGGUGAUAUUUGUAGAAUAUGGUGAGAGUGGGCAGCACAAACGAACUCCUCCGUACUCUAAAGAUAUUGUAGGGUUUCAUAUGUACAAAAAGGCCACCAUCAGUGCUCCACAAAAUUAUCAAAAUACAAGGGUAUAUAUUUUAGUACAAAAUAUGAAAAUACAAAUUUAAAUGUUGGACAUACACUUUAGAACAAGGUCUCCUAGCAGUAUUGGCAACAAGCUAUAUGUAUAUUGUUACAUCAAAACGGAAGUCAAAUGAAAGCAUCUAUAAUUGUACAUAGCAACACCCUCAUAUAGCAAUAUGGCAUGUCUAAGUAUUGUUUUAUAACUAAAAUGUCCUUACAUUUUCACAGGGACUGGAUCCAAAGACCAAUUCAGAAUAGGGGUCACGUUGCAGCUCAAAGCAUGGAAUCGAUUGGCUUUCAAACUUACAUGAAAUUCUACACAUAAUUUUUUUAUACAUAGAAUCUCAUACAUUAAGCCAGGAAAUACAGUCAAGCUCAAGCGGGGAUCGGUAACACUGACUAGACUACUUAAUCAUACUCCAAAUGUUUAGCUUUGUUUGUCUCGGUGUUUCAGAGAGCCUUCUUAGG
rnacentral:lncRNA from 1 species